GUGGGGAAUAUUGGACAAUGGGCGCAAGCCUGAUCCAGCCAUUCCGCGUGCAGGAUGAAGGCCUUCGGGUUGUAAACUGCUUUUGUACGGAACGAAAAGCCUCUGGUUAAUACCCGGGGGUCAUGACGGUACCGUAAGAAUAAGCACCGGCUAACUACGUGCCAGCAGCCGCGGUAAUACGUAGGGUGCGAGCGUUAAUCGGAAUUACUGGGCGUACAGCGUGCGCAGGCGGUGAUGUAAGACAGUUGUGAAAUCCCCGGGCUCAACCUGGGAAUUGCGCUUGUGACUGCAGUGCUGGAGUGCGGCAGAGGGGGAUGGAAUUCCGCGUGUAGCAGUGAAAUGCGUAGAUAUGCGGAGGAACACCGAUGGCGAAGGCAAUCCCCUGGGCCUGCACUGACGCUCAUGCACGAAAGCGUGGGGAGCAAACAGGAUUAGAAACCCGGGUAGUCC
rnacentral:rRNA from 1 species